rnacentral:rRNA from 1 species
UACGAAGGGGGCUAGCGUUGUUCGGAAUUACUGGGCGUAAAGCGCGCGCAGGCGGUCCUUUAAGUCAGGGGUGAAAGCCCAGAGCUCAACUCUGGAACGGCCUUUGAAACUAGAGGACUUGGGUACGGGAGAGGUGAGCGGAAUUCCGAGUGUAGAGGUGAAAUUCGUAGAUAUUCGGAAGAACACCAGUGGCGAAGGCGGCUCACUGGCCCGUUACCGACGCUCAGGCGCGACAGCGUGGGGAGCAAACAGG